UACGGAGGGUGCGAGCGUUGUCCGGAAUUAUUGGGCGUAAAGAGCGUGUAGGCGGUUCGGUAAGUCUGUCGUGAAAUCCUGGGGCUCAACCUCGGGCGUGCGAUGGAUACUGCCGGGCUAGAGGGUGGUAGAGGCGAGUGGAAUUCCCGGUGUAGCGGUGAAAUGCGCAGAUAUCGGGAGGAACACCAGUAGCGAAGGCGGCUCGCUGGGCCACGCCUGACGCUGAGACGCGAAAGCUAGGGGAGCGAACAGG
rnacentral:rRNA from 1 species